GACGUAGGGCGCGAGCGUUGUCCGGAUUUAUUGGGCGUAAAGAGCUCGUAGGCGGCUUGUCGCGUCGUCCGUAAAUACUUGGGGCUCAACCCCAAGCUUGCGGUCGAUACGGGCAGGCUAGAGUUCGGUAGGGGUGACUGGAAUUCCUGGUGUAGCGGUGAAAUGCGCAGAUAUCAGGAGGAACACCGGUGGCGAAGGCGGGUCUCUGGGCCGAUACUGACGCUGAGGAGCGAAAGCGUGGGGAGCGAACAGG
rnacentral:rRNA from 1 species